CUACGGGAGGCUCCAGUGAGGAAUAUUGCACAAUGGGGGGAACCCUGAUGCAGCAACGCCGCGUGGAGGAUGACGCAUUUCGGUGUGUAAACUCCUUUUAUAUGUCAAGAAAAUGACGGUAGCAUAUGAAUAAGCACCGGCUAACUCCGUGCCAGCAGCCGCGGUAAUACGGAGGGUGCAAGCGUUACUCGGAAUCACUGGGCGUAAAGGACGCGUAGGCGGGGUGGAAAGUCAGGUGUGAAAUCCUACAGCUUAACUGUAGAACUGCACUUGAAACUUCUAAUCUAGAGUAUGGGAGGGGGAGAUGGAAUUAGUGGUGUAGGGGUAAAAUCCGUAGAUAUCACUAGGAAUACCUAAAGCGAAGGCGAUCUCCUGGAACAUUACUGACGCUAAGACGUGAAAGCGUGGGGAGCAAACAGGAUUAGAUACCCUCGUAGUC
rnacentral:rRNA from 1 species